GUUUGGGAUUAGUCCCGAUCGAUCUGCGCACAUCAUUGAAAUUUAACACUCACCGAAUUCUUUACAGCAACAACACGUGUUGCCAGUUUAUACCUAGCAAUGAUUUAGUGCUCCACAGACAUUUAAAUGGUAACACGGCUCUAUAUAUUCGUCCCAAUGUGUAUAUUGCUGGGGAUAUUAGUUCUUCUGUUCCUUAUAUUCUUCUUCCACCACUGUAUAAAACACUGGAUGCCCUGCCUUCCACAUAAGAGCAGGAACAUCGGUUCAGUCGCUGCGAAGGUCAAGAAGAAAGGAUCCGUGGUAGCCGACAGCGUUUAGAGUUUGUGUUGAUCUUAUAACAUAAACACAUAACGUUCAACUUCAGCAGCAUCAGCAGGAGAUAAUAAAUAUACUACGAUACGACCCUUAACGUAUGGCAGUGAGCCGAUUGCAAAACAGUGAAACGCUGUAAUAGGUUCUUCGAAGAUAAGUCUGUACGUAAAAAUCAAACAGACUUUAUAUCCGUGGUGUGAACGUGCUAAGAAAUGACUAAGCGGCUUUUGUAAUCCCUGCCUAACUGGCUAGUAAGGUAUUUCGAUUUACGUCAAUAACAUGCCAUGAUAUAAAAAGGUGAACAGCUUUAUUUGCAUUCGCGGUUGUUGGAUUGUAAAUACAAUUUGAAUUCGUGUCAUCGUUUAAAACACGGUAUUUGCAUAUGAAAUAGACAACGUCUUUUGAAAUAAAGUGUAACAUAAAACGACUGUUAUGUUUUUCAAGUGAAGCAGUAUUGGUUUAUAAUGCUCUUUAUAAUAAGAAUUCACUUGACUGGCAUUAAAGAAGAAGCAUGGUGUUUGUAUUAAGGCAGAUGACCGCCUUUCAAUAAAGGAACGAUGGAAAUCUUGACUGAACUAUUCAUACAACACAGGAUGAACCAAACAAUUGUAUAUUUUGGAAUCACAACAUUCAAUUACAUCUCAUCAAAUAUCUAAUUCUUCCUUAUGCUAUAGUGGUAUUCAUUAUUUUUGUCAUUAUGUUGAACUACAUGUAUCUUUUAACAAUUUAUGUAUAGAACAUAAUAUAGUUUGUAUAUAAUUAAUCAUGCCAUGAACUAGUAUUUAUUGAUGGCCACUUGCAUGCAUUUUGUUUGUAUAAAUAUAUUCAUACAUGUGUACUCAUGGACUGUAAUGUCUAAUGUAUCUUGAAUAAACCAUUAUUUUUGAC